CACAGCCUCGAUAUUUGUGUUCAUUUUAAAUGGAAAUAAAUCAUGAAAUGAUUGCAAAGGAGAAUCGGCGUCGAAAGGAUUCUGAAUUCAAGUUUGGUCUUCUUUUUUCGUAAUCGCCGUCUUCUCCCCUCUCUGCGGUGGAAUUGAUAUUUUUUCCUAAAACCUUAACAAGGAUUCAUACCACAAAGCACCUUAAUAGAGUCGAGCAGUAUAGCAGUGAAGGUUUGGUUGGGAAUGGCGAAAGCAAACCUUAAAACCCUUGGAUUAGUGAACAAGCGAAAGCACAUGGAUGUUCCAACACAAAUCGUUGUGUCUCCCAUUGAUGUGGUGAAAAAGUCGAGAUACGAGAAGGAUCAGUUACACUGUGAUGAAUUACAUCAUCUGCAAAAGAAAGAGAUUGCAGAUUAGAAAAAUAGGUUAUCUAUAUGCAUUAUCUGGGUUCUUAUUGUCUGUUGUAGUUCGUGCAAUAUAAAUGUUUGGUUCAUAA